rfam:Cavia porcellus supercont2_6 genomic scaffold, whole genome shotgun sequence.
GGAGGUUUAGCUCAGGGGCAUAAGCGCCUGCCUUGCAAGCAGGCAGUUCUGAGUUCGAUCCCCAGUACCAAUA